GAUGAACGCUGGCGGCGUGCCUAAUACAUGCAAGUCGAGCGAACGGACGAGAAGCUUGCUUCUCUGAUGUUAGCGGCGGACGGGUGAGUAACACGUGGAUAACCUACCUAUAAGACUGGGAUAACUUCGGGAAACCGGAGCUAAUACCGGAUAAUAUUUUGAACCGCAUGGUUCAAAAGUGAAAGACGGUCUUGCUGUCACUUAUAGAUGGAUCCGCGCUGCAUUAGCUAGUUGGUAAGGUAACGGCUUACCAAGGCAACGAUGAAUAGCCGACCUGAGAGGGUGAUCGGCCACACUGGAACUGAGACACGGUCCAGACUCCUACGGGAGGCAGGAGUAGGGAAUCUUCCGCAAUGGGCGAAAGCCUGACGGAGCAACGCCGCGUGAGUGAUGAAGGUCUUCGGAUCGUAAAACUCUGUUAUUAGGGAAGAACAUAUGUGUAAGUAACUGUGCACAUCUUGACGGUACCUAAUCAGAAAGCCACGGCUAACUACGUG
rnacentral:rRNA from 1 species